rnacentral:rRNA from 1 species
UACGUAGGGGCUAGCGUUAUCCGGAACUUACUGGGCGUAAAGCGCGCGUAGGCGGCGGCAAAAGUCGUUUGUGAAAGACCCGGGCUCAACCUGGGGAUUGCAGGCGAAACUAUGUUGCUUGAGUGCGGUAGAGGGAAGUGGAAUUCCUAGUGUAGCGGUGAAAUGCGCAGAUAUUAGGAGGAACACCAGUGGCGAAGGCGACUUUCUGGGCCGCAACUGACGCUGAUGCGCGAAAGCGUGGGGAGCAAACAGGAUUAGAUACCCGUGUAGU